rnacentral:rRNA from 1 species
GACGAACGCUGGCGGCGUGCUUAACACAUGCAAGUCGAACGGACAGGCCCUGCUCUUGCUGGGUGCUCGAUUGCCGAACGGGUGAGUAACACGUGAGUAACCUGCCCUUGACUUUGGGAUAACUUCAGGAAACUGGGGCUAAUACCGCAUAGGAGAUCCUGCUGCAUGGUGGGGGUUAGAAAGUUUCGGCUGUUGGGGCUGGUCUCGCGGCUUCUCAGCUUGGUGGUGGGGUAGUGGGUUACCCAGUGUUCGAUGGGUAGCCGGCCUGGGAGGGGGAUCGGCAGACGUGGCAGUGAGACGCGGUCAAGACGCCUAAGGGAGGCAGCAGUAGGGAAUCUUACGCAAGGGGCGAAAGCCUGACGGAGCAACGGCGCGUGAGUGAUGACGGUCUUCGGAUCGUAAAACUCUGUUAUGAGGGAAGAACAAAUGUGUCAGGAACUAUGCACGUCUUGACGGUACCUAAUCAGAAAGCCACGGCUAACUACGUG